GCGGGCUCGCGCAAGCAUCGCCCCUCCCCCUCCACGGCAUCGCAGUCGUGGGCGUCCUCACGCUUCUCUCGCCCGGCCCUGUCCUGACACGCUGGCACCCGCUCGAGGCACCCGCAGGAACGCCAUCCAUCUGGGUUCAAGAGGGCCGCCGCCCCGUUAUUGUCCUCAUCACCGGCGCCACCAAUUGGUGACCCAGUUGAAGCAUGAUACGAGGAGUCGACUGAAAGGGGUUCCUUUGUAGAUCAACUAGUCUACUGCAUCAACAGUUUCAAGGAGGCUGCUUUGUCCAAUGACCAAAAGUUUGGCCAUAUCGACAUAUCUGAGAAACAGAAGGCCUUGAUAUUAUUGCUUGGAAUGGUGGAGCACCAAGUGAUAUUUUUUAUGCUCGAGUAUUUAAGAAGGUUUUGAGCAUAUUUAUUACUGCUGCAAUUUUGAAGUUGGGUCAAGGUAUGGUGCAUAAAAAAAGUAGGAACCACAAUUCGAUUGCGAUGAUGCUCAGGGUGCAUGCGCUCUGCGUGCUUUGAUCUGCUUUGCUCUGAAUGUCCAUAGCCCUUGUGCUCCUUAUUAAAAAUUAUAUAUUGACUCUUUAAAAUAGUUUGUGCGAUAUUGAUAAUGUUUGUCACACGAAUUAUGUAUAUUAUAGUGAAUAGAUGGUGAGAGAC